CUAUAAUGUUCAAUGUUUCAGUUUCAAUAAGGUACACUAUUGUCCAUGAAGAGUGCACAUUGUUUGUCUGUGAUGGUCCAUGAAGGUAGCACAUUGUCUAUCUGUGAUGGUCCAUGAAGGUAGCACAUUGUCUAUCUGUGAUGGUCCAUGACAACAUACAUCAUGUGUUUUCUGUGAUGGUCCAUGAAGGUAGCACAUUGUCUAUCUGUGAUGGUCCAUGAAGGUAGCACAUUGUCUAUCUGUGAUGGUCCAUGACAACAUACAUCAUGUGUUUUCUGUGAUGGUCCAUGAAGGUUGCUCAUUGUUUGUCUGUGAUGGUCCAUGACAACGUACAUCAUGUAUUUUCUGUGAUGGUCCAUGAAGGGAGCACAUUGUCUAUCUGUGAUGGUCCAUGACAACGUACAUCAUGUAUUUUCUGUGAUGGUCCAUGAAGGGAGCACAUUGUCUAUCUGUGAUGGUCCAUGACAACUUACAUCAUGUGUUUUCUGUGAUGGUCCAUGAAGGUAGCACAUUGUUUGUUCCUAAGAGCGAGGUCUCAGAAGACAAAGCACAUCC